GACUGCAUUGGGACCAGAGCUUGGCUCCCGUAAUGCAAUGCUUUCUUCUCGUCUGGUCGCCAUCUUGGUUCAGUCGUGGUGUUGAGACCGGGAGACAAAUAGAUCAAGAAAUCCUUGGGUAGAGGAGCAAAAUGCCAGUUAGGGUCAAUCCUGCUAUAAGAUUCUCUCGUUACGCAGCUCUUGCCAUUGGUGUUGCUUAUGGAUAUAGUAGAAAUGAAUCACUGAAACCCAAGGCAGCACAUGACAGAGCAGUUGAAGAACAGAGGGCAAAGGAGAAAGCAGAGCUAGAAGCCAUCAGGAGAGCAGAGGCAGCGAAACAGCCAAUAUUCUGAUGUGUGAAUAGUCUUCUUUCCUAUGCUGUGCUUGUUGGGAAUAUAUUUAAACAAAAUGUACUGAACAUUUUGCUUAUAAACAAUUCAUGUUGGUAUUGAACAUGUAUCUGAACCAAAUGAGUUAUUAAUAAAUCCUUUUUUAACAGA